UGGUGUCGAUGGAUGGGAACUGGAACUGGCAAUACCUAAGGUGUUUACUAGAUGAUUUUAUUUUACCUUACAUUGCAGGUAUUCCAGUUCCUAAUCGCCUAGUUGGGCCCAAUACAAUGAUAUCACAAUGGUCUUCUAAUGGGAGUUUCUUAGUUAAGUUUGCCUAUAAUUUUCUCAGUAAGAUGCCUUGAAUCCUUCAGAAGAUAGUUGGAAACUCGUGUGGUCUUAUGCAAGGCCACAACGUGUUAGGCAAUUUCUUUGGCUGGUUUUCAAGGAACGCUUACUGACUAAUGCAGAACGUUGCAGAAGAGGUUAAAGCUCUUAAGUGCACAACUGGAAGACCGAAGGAUUGUACCAGAAGACAAACUAGAUGUAGCCGAUGGAUUCCUCCUCCAACGGAUACCAUUAAACUAAACAUUGACGGGGCUCGUGAUCCACUAUUGGGUUUGGUAGCUUCGGCCGCAGUGGCAAGAGAUGAAUUCGGCAAUUAGGUUCUUGGAGUAGGUAGAAAUAUUGGUAGGUGUGGUGUGGAGCAAGUAGAUCUUUGGACAAUUUAUGAUGGGCUUAUUAUGGCAUAGGAUGCCCAAUGGCGACAUAUCUUCGUGGAAACAAAUUGUACACUUGCUUUUAAAAGGAACACUGACGAAUUGAGAGGGUGUGUCCAGAGAAUUUUGGUUCUUAGAAUUCGAGAGUUAGUAAGUUGUGAUUGAAAUGUUGUCUUCAAGCAGAUCCCAAGAGAGAUAAACUCUGUUGGACACUCGUUGGCUAGUAUGAUGAAAGAAGUGUAGGUUGGUAUACAUAUAUUUUCAUAAUGCCCCCUAUUUGGUUAGUCAUCUUAUAAAGAUGAAUAUCAUAUUUAUGUGUUCGAA